UUUGAGGGGCUCAUUGAAAAGGUUGUGAUCCACUCUCUGCGUCAGAGGUUCAUGUCAGCUAUAGGAACAAACUUGGCUCAUGGGUUGUGGAAGAGUGUGAAACCGAGGACUUGCAAACGGGUCGUAGUUUGUGGUGUCGCCACGUUGGACGACUGGUUACAACAGAAAUGUGCUUUUCUGAGGUGAAAUAAAAUGUAACCAUUGUUCUCCUGCGCUGUCAUGAACAUCAGUGGAAAAAAAGGUUGUUUCUUUCUUUAAUUGUACAUUAUUCUAACAUUAGCCCAUCAAAGGCCCCUCAUUAUUCAUUAUCACAAAGGCUCCUUGGGGUGGCGCUGUUGCAGAGCGAAAUCAAAGAGAAAAUCACAACAAAAGUGGGGUUUAGGUGAAGUCGUUGGCCUGAAGUAUUACCCAUUAUUUUCUCCAUUCACAUGUUUCAGGCAGACGAGUGUCCACUCUGUCCAAACAUAAUCAAUCCUUUGGUAACUGCGUCGGCAGAAACACGUUUGCGGCAAGUGAUUUUUGUUGAAGUGGGGAUAAAUAGAAAUGCAUUAUCUCACUCUACAAACUCCUCUGACUGGUGGAUGUAAAGACUUGUUCACAUGCUGUGUGUCGUGUUGAGCCACAGCUUUCACACUCAGUAUGUUUCCAGAUAAACUACAACAUUAGCUCCCAGGAUACCAACAGAACUCAUUGAUUGAGCCCUAUGUUUAGGCUUGUUUAGUAUUAGACAGUUUCGCUGAAGCUGGGUGGAAGCAUGUCAAGCGACAUUUUGAAACUUAAGAAAUAUAAAAAAGAUUUGAGCUAGCAGAGCAAAAUUGCACCAGCCUGGAUUUCAGAUUUCUACAACUUCCAAAUCAAAGCUCGGGACUGGGAACAGUUUGGGUCUGAUUUAAAAACAUCAGGACAUUUUUAAAAGUCAUCACACUAACGCGAUUAUUGUUUCUUACGUCAUGUAAACAACCGAGACACGACGUGUAGAAAUCAUCCCCUCUCAUGUGAUUUAAAUUUUUUGUUCUUUUUUUUUUUUGUUUUUUGUUUUUUUGUUGCUGUCCAGCCUUUCAAAAUGAAUGGGAAUAUAAUCCGGAUGUGCAAAGAAAGGAAGUCCAGAUAUGUGUGACUACACAUUGUGAUGUCAAGAGUGAAUUCAUCUGUAGAGGAGCCUCAGGCUAAUUAAUAAAUUAAAAAUGGGCCUGUGGUUUUAAAAUUUGUGUUUCAUGUUCCAGACAAUUCUGUUGAGAGUUGAUGGGCGGAGUUGACGACGAGGGGGGAGGGAAAACGUGGAGAAGUGAAACUUGGCAACGUCUCGUUUAACAAGCAGGUGUGACACACUGGAAAAAGUCUGACAUCAGCAUUCCAGUCUACCCAUGAGCAAAGCAGUGUCCCACACAGACGAGUACCUUUUAGUUCAGUUAAGAUUCAGCGUAGCCCACUCUAUAUAGGUCCAAAUAAGGAGACACAUGGAAUAAAGCAACAUUUUGUGGCUGUAUAUUAUAUUUUUUUCAAAAAAAGAUCUUUUUUUUUCUCUUUAUUUAUAGAGCCAGCCUGGCUUUGUCUGUCAUGGUUCUGAGUAGACGUGUGUGUAUGGACAGACAGACAGACAGACAGACACACACACACACACACACACAGGCAGGCCGUGGACCGGACUCGCAUUAAUUGCUGAUAAUUUACUGUUGUGCAUUGCAUUUUAGUAAAGAUGGUUCUCUUGUGUAUGUAAUGUUUCGACAGGGUAAAACAAAAAUGAUCAGAAGGCAGAUGAUUGGCUUUUUAUUGUUCUUCUUUUCCUGGCAACAAAAAAAAAAACAACUCGAUGAGGAUGGGAGUGCGUUUGUGUGAUUAUACAGCAAAUGCCUACAUUUCCAUGCUUCAGUUAAUCUUGUGUGACAUAAUGUUUUCAUAGUACAUGCAAAUAAAUAACCCUGCUUGGCGGGGCGUUUUAGAAAACCUCUGCUGCUUCUUCACGUCUGAAUCACAAUUGAAGCCAAAUAUUAAAAAUAUCUUUUCUUUUUUGACACAUUUUUAAUCUUCAGUACUUAACAAAAUGUUAAAUUUACCUUUUUGUACCCACAUUUGAGCCAGAAGCGUCACAUUCAACCACUAAAAGUCAUGUUUCUGUUCAGUAAUCCAAGUAAAUAGCUAUAAUUUGACGACUUAAUCAAGAAAUAAUCAUGUGCUUUAUUUGUGUCUGGGUUUUUUUUGUAAAACAGUACGUUUGAAAAUUCACGGAUAACAAUAAUAAUUAUAUUUCAGCAUUAAGAUAUCAUUUCAGUUAAAGAGCUUACUGGAGUAUUAACCAUUACAGAAACAUAAAAAAUGAUUUUGAUUAUUACCAAUGCAAACCUUGUAUUGUGUGUUCUAAUACGUUUGUUCAGCGCUGUAACUUUAAAUCAAACUUCAGUUGAAUAUUUAUUGUCGAUUUAAAGCUGCAGUGAAGUGGCGUAGCUGACACUUACUGUAGGAACCAUGAAAUAAACCAACAUUCUUUGUCUGUACAUCAUUAUUAUUUUUAAAUAUCCUUGUGUUUUUCAUUUCUAUUUUAUUGAUUGAUCUGUAGAUCCUUUUCUCGAUCUAUCGAAUAAUAAUAGUUUGGUUCAUAAAACGUUCCUCAGUGUUUCCCAAACAUGGAAAUGAAACCAGAAAAUUCUCACAUUUAAGAAGCUGAAUAAUCUUGAAAACCUGUUUAAAAAACAAAACGCUCAAAUUGAUAAACCAAGUGUCAGAAUAGUUUACAUGUACUAAGUGGUUAAUAAUAGAGUAAUUGUUUCAGCCCUACAUAACUUAUCUUCAAAAUAUAAGAUUCUGUAUGUGAAGUCUGUAUCGUUAGCAUUUUAAAUUAACAUAAACAUUUGCAGUUAGAUUCAAAUAGUGAUUUUAAUUUUAAAAAAAUGAUUCACUUUUCAGCGCUAAUGUAAAUUGUCAUUUGAGUUGUUCCACAAAAAGUCUUACAUCAUUUCGCUAAGCUCUUCCACAGAAAAACCACUCGCUCUCAAGUUACUUCUGCAGAAACAAGCAUGAACGUGACAGAGGUGCGGUGACUGAAUGAGCACAGGCUGCUUUAAAAACACCUGAGCCCACAGAGGACAUCAGUCACUGCAGCAGCAGCUUAAAGACAAACCUGAGCGAGCGUCUUCCAGCCCUUCAAGUCUUUAAGUUCUCACGAACAAUGUCUUCACAAAACCUCACCGCGGUGGACCAAGUGGACCUGGAGUGCAUCGUGUGCUGCCAUGAGUUCUACCGCAGAAGCCACGUCCCGCUCCUCCUCAACUGCAAACACACCUUCUGCGUCCACUGUCUGCAGAAGAUAUCCAAGCAGAUGGACUGCAUCUGCACCAUCUGCUGUCCUCUGUGCCGCUGGAUAACGUGCAUCCAGGCCGGGAAGGACCUGGACAGGGUCCUGGACUUGGACUACAAAAUCUGGGAGCAGAUUCCAGAGGAGAAGCCGCGGAGAAUGGACAAUAAAGUAUCUGAUCCUUGGUCUGGUUCCAUGUCCACAGUCAAGACACGAUGGCCGCGUGUUGGUCGGAUCACAUCUCGGCAGCAUUUUGGAAUGAGGAAAUUGUCUUGUGUUUUUCCGGUUUAAUUGAAAUAAUGGGAAGCAUAAAUGUUUGAAGUAUCUGUGAAAAAAAAUCCUUUUUGUCAAGAGAUAAUGGAUCAUUUUCCUGAUUUGUUUAGGUUAUGUUGGCAUUGUUUUUCUGAAAUAAUGACUUUUUGUUUUUUCUAAGUUACUUCUGUGAUAGGAAAAAGAAACACAAUGUCAUUCAUUUAAAACAGACACUGAUGGAAUCUUCUUCCAUGGCUGAAGCCUCACGAUACAGAGCUUCACUUUGUUACUUUUCAUGCUUGCUCGCGCUCAUGUUUGAGUGAUUUUAUAUUGUUUCGCAAUUUGUAUUUAUCAUUUUUAAUGUUAUUUAAUAUUUGUACUUCUUUUAAUGUAACUUUACCAUGAAAACGAGCCAAGUGAAGUGUUUACUGAUGUGUAUUUAAAAAUAA